rnacentral:rRNA from 1 species
AUUGAACGCUGGCGGCAGGCCUAACACAUGCAAGUCGAGCGAGCGGCGGACGGGUUAGUAAUGUAUGGGGACUGCCCGAUAGAGGGGUAUAACUACUGGAAACGGUGGCUAAUACCGCAUACUUAGGUUUCACCCAUAUGGGAUUAGCUAGUAGGUGGGGUAAAGGCUCACCUAGGCGACGAUCUCUAGCUGGUCUGAGAGGAUGAUCAGCCACACUGGGACUGAGACACGGCCCAGACUCCUACGGAGGCAGCAGUGGGGAAUAUUGCACAAUGGGCGAAAGCCUGAUGCAGCCAUGCCGCGUGUAUGAAGAAGGCCUUCGGGUUGUAAAGCACUUUUAGUCGGGAGGCGUUACCGACAGAAGAAGCACCGGCUAACUCCGUGCCAGCAGCCGCGGUAAUUC